rnacentral:tRNA from 1 species
GCCGCUAUAGCUCAGCUGGUAGAGCAGUUGCCUUGUAAGCAUCAGGUCCCGCGUUCGAUUCGUGGUGGCGGCACCA